rnacentral:lncRNA from 1 species
ACGAGCCGCCGUUGUUUGAGGUGCCUGACGUGUGCCUGAAAGGAACUGGAGAACUCGCAUUGAUCCCCUGAGCGCUGAUCGUGGUGUCUACAUCCCAUAGCGUAGCAUGCCGGAAAACCGCGGAAGUCUGUUAGCAGGAAGUAGACGAGGCGUCCAGGUGGCGCCGUGGGAGGAGAACGCCGAUGUGCGCGUUGAACUUCUCGUUUUCCAGCCUGUUAGCAUCCAAACCUUUGUAAAGCGCUCGGUCCUGGUUCUGUUCAGUAAAGGAAACGUGCUCCAACGUCGACAAGUUGCUCCCAGUGGGAGUUUUACCGUGCUGGUUCCUCUGGUUCCAGGUUCCUCUGGUUCCAGGUUCCUCUGGCUCCAGGUUCCUCUGGUCCCUCUGGCUCCAGGUUCCUCUGGUUGCUGGUUCCUCUGGUUCCAGGUCCCUCUGGUUCCAGGUUCCUCUGGUUGCUGGUUCCAGGUCCCUCUGGUUCCAGGUUCCUCUGGUUGCUGGUUCCUCUGGUUGCUGGUUCCUCUGGUUGCUGGUCCCAGGUUCCUCUGGUUCCAGGUUCCUCUGGUUCCAGGUUCCUCUGGUUCCAGGUUCCUCUGGUUCCAGGUCCCUCUGGUUCCAGGUUCCUCUGGUUGCUGGUUCCAGGUCCCUCUGGUUCCAGGUCCCUCUGGUUCCAGGUUCCUCUGGUUCCAGGUUCCUCUGGUUGCUGGUUCCUCUGGUUCCAGGUCCCUCUGGUUCCAGGUUCCUCUGGUUGCUGGUUCCAGGUCCCUCUGGUUCCAGGUUCCUCUGGUUCCAGGUCCCUCUGGUUCCUGGGCUUUAGGUGACAGUGUUACGUGUUCUAAACAUGUCUUUUCUUCUUUCUGCUUCCUCCUUGUCUGUGCACCUUUGGAUCAUUUUAUGGGUCGGCUCUGGACCCUCAUGCUUUUCUUUUUAACACACCUUUGUUUUAAGUCCUUUUCCCAUCGGCUGUGGUUCUGGUGCCGUUUGGACCUGAACGUUUGUGAACGCCGGGCGCUGAUGAGCUCACGGUUCUGGUCCCGGACCCAGCACCUGCCUGGGCCCGGGCCGACCUCGGCGUCCCACAGGAUUUUAAUAACGGUUUAA